rnacentral:ncRNA from 1 species
GGCCUACCUGCGGGCCUAACAAUGCAGGGCGGUGGGAGAUGGCGACCUCCUAAAACGCCUA